GACGAACGCUGGCGGCGUGCUUAACACAUGCAAGUCGAACGCUGAAGCUUGGUGCUUGCACUGGGUGGAUGAGUGGCGAACGGGUGAGUAAUACGUGAGUAACCUGCCCUUGACUCUGGGAUAAGCCUGGGAAACUGGGUCUAAAACUGGAUACGACAUGCCACUGCAUGGUGGUGUGUGGAAAGGGUUUUACUGGUUUUGGAUGGGCUCACGGCCUAUCAGCUUGUUGGUGGGGUAAUGGCCUACCAAGGCGACGACGGGUAGCCGGCCUGAGAGGGUGACCGGCCACACUGGGACUGAGACACGGCCCAGACUCCUACGGGAGGCAGCAGUGGGGAAUAUUGCACAAUGGGCGGAAGCCUGAUGCAGCGACGCCGCGUGAGGGAUGACGGCCUUCGGGUUGUAAACCUCUUUCAGCACGGAAGAAGCGAGAGUGACGGUACGUGCAGAAGAAGCGCCGGCUAACUACGUG
rnacentral:rRNA from 1 species